UCGAGCAGAAGGGGCUCCAAGGAGCCAAGAACCCUAGUUCAAUCAAUCUUCAAAUUGAAAGGGAAAUCGAAGACCAAAUUCGGGUUUGAAUAUAUAUUAGCGAUCACCAAGUCAUGGGGAUCACAAGUUUGACGCUUAACGAGCUAGGUGGAGGCUUGGGAAAGAAGCGGGUCAAACGGAUCGGGUACGCGGAAAAGAGCAUAACCGGAUGCAAGGUGAUCCUAGUUUGCAUCCGGAUGAUGGUCAAACCAAGUAUCAAGAAUCGAACACUCGUCUUUGAAGCUUCCGCAACGAUAUCGUUUUGUUUAUGUUACAAACAACUUAUGUGAACAAUUAGUAUUAUUUUUGAAUGUUAUGAUCAUGUAUGAAUGAUAACUUAUAAAAGUUUUUGGAAGGUCGCAUUUACAAUAGAAAAAUGCGUAGUUUAUUA